CGUACACUCCUACGGGAGGCAGCAGUGGGGAAUAUUGGACAAUGGGCGCAAGCCUGAUCCAGCCAUGCCGCGUGAGUGAUGAAGGCCCUAGGGUUGUAAAGCUCUUUCACCGGUGAAGAUAAUGACGGUAACCGGAGAAGAAGCCCCGGCUAACUUCGUGCCAGCAGCCGCGGUAAUACGAAGGGGGCUAGCGUUGUUCGGAUUUACUGGGCGUAAAGCGCACGUAGGCGGACUAUUAAGUCAGGGGUGAAAUCCCGGGGCUCAACCCCGGAACUGCCUUUGAUACUGGUAGUCUUGAGUUCGAGAGAGGUGAGUGGAAUUCCGAGUGUAGAGGUGAAAUUCGUAGAUAUUCGGAGGAACACCAGUGGCGAAGGCGGCUCACUGGCUCGAUACUGACGCUGAGGUGCGAAAGCGUGGGGAGCAAACAGGAUUAGAAACCCGUGUAGUCCCAU
rnacentral:rRNA from 1 species